rnacentral:lncRNA from 1 species
GCCUAAUAUUUCAAAUAUGGUAAGAAAUCAACUAAGUAUCAAAUUCUAUCAAAAAUAGGAAAUUCGCGAAAAAAAAACACGUCAAAUUUUAAUCAUGCGGCCGCAUGGAACAUUCGAAAAUCCCGAAUAAUUCCCUACCUCACUCUGUGCGACCGCAGGACGAUUUUAACCAUGCGGUCGCAUGGUUCUUCUCUCCAACUCCAUCUUCGGCUGCUUGUAUUGCAUUGAUCCAACUGGUUUUGGCCUUCGACCCGAACACGAAACUUGUCCCAUUUUGAGUCUCGAACAUGAUUUCAUCGAUGAUUGUCUAGACGAGUAAUCUCAUUGCCUCUUUCACUCACUUUGUCCUCGCUCGUGUCAUAGGUCCACCUUCGACUUUCAACGGAUCUUUCCCCGAGCUUGACGUUGGACUUGAUUUGGUUGCUUGCGGCUCCUAGAUCACAUCAGGAUCUUACAGUAUUUUAAGAAUCUUACUGUAUUUUGAUAAUUUGUUAGAAGUAGGACAAACAGGGACGUAAAAAAUAUUCAUUGUAACAGAUAUUUGUUGUAAUUUUUUGUCUAUAUAAACUUAUCUUCUUUGGUGAAACUGUUUCUAAUGGAUAUCCGAAAACGAAGCAUUUUAUAUACUUGAGAAGGAAAACUCCAGAAUUUGGUCUAUAGAAAAAAUAGUUUGAAGUUAGAUUAUACUAAUACUGUAAAUAUAAAAUUAAAUUAAAUAUUAUAGUAAAUUGUUGAGAUGCUUACCCUUUUUUUUGACAAGGUAGAUAUGGUAUAAUUUCCGAUUUCAUAUGUUUAUUUUUAUGUUUUCUUAAACUUGGUUUGCUGAAGAAAAUGUCUAUAGAGAUUAAUAAUUAUUCCACUAUAGUCAAUACUGGUUCUACACGUGCUUUGAUUUCUUCCGAUGUAUGAAUGUUGUGGCUGCAAUCAUAUAUAUGAA